rnacentral:rRNA from 1 species
AUUGAACGCUGGCGGCAGGCCUAACACAUGCAAGUCGAGCGGACGAAGGGAGCUUGCUCCUGGAUUCAGCUGCGGACGGGUGAGUAAUGCCUAGGAAUCUGCCCGGUAGUGGGGGCUAACGUCCGUAAACGGGCGCUAAUACCGCAUACGCCCUGAGGGAGAAAGUGGGGGAUCUUCGGACCUCACGCUAUCAGAUGAGCCUAGGUCGGAUUAGCUAGUUGGUGAGGUAAAGGCCUACCAAGGCGACGAUCCGUAGCUGGUCUGAGAGGAUGAUCAGUCACACUGGAACUGAGACACGGUCCAGACUCCUACGGGAGGCAGCAGUAGGGAAUAUUCGGCAAUGGGCGAAAGCCUGAUGCAGCAAUGCCGCGUGUGUGAAGAAGGUCUUCGGAUUGUAAAGCACUUUUAGUUGGGAGGAAGAGCAGUAAGUUAAUACAUGGAUGUUUUGACGUUACCAACACAGUAAGCACCGGCUAACUUCGUG